rfam:Smittium mucronatum strain ALG-7-W6 scaffold-581, whole genome shotgun sequence.
CCGAAUAUAGCUCAGCGGUAGAGCGGGAGACUGUAGUAAAUUGUUAUCUCUAGGUCCCUGGUUCAAAUCCGGGUGUUCGGA